GUUUGCUACUAUGCUAACAAAUUCGAUCCAUGUUCGAAUAGUAAUGUUCAAUGACAUUUUUAAACCUUUAACUUUUCUUUACCCAAUCUGUGGCGAGGCCCUUGGGCUCGCCCAUGACUCACCUUCAAAUCCCAAAGUGGGGAGGGAGCUCCAAGUGCACCCAAGCCCGGGACCGUCUGCGGACCUCCAUGUGGUCUGGACCUCCAAGUGGUCCUAGUCGCACGACACUCCGGAGUACUCGACGACAAUCCCCUCCAUGUGGGGAUUGGAUGGCUAUACCAUCCUAAACGCAGACUGUGAGCUAGAUCUAUCCUCUCCAAGUGAGGACACUCUACAACUAGAGUCAAUACCCAAUCGAAUCCUCUCCAAGUGAGGAAGCGCUAUUACUAGGGUCCAUAACCCAAUCAAAUCCUCUCCAAGUGAGGAAGCCCUACCGCUAGGGUUAAUAUCUCUCGCGGGAUCAUUUGUUCCCGACAAUCAUGCAACGCUAUUUAGGUUGUCUAAAUUCAUUGUUCACAAGGCAUUUUCUAAGGGAUCCACCUAUCCCUAGGUCCAUCGACCUCUAGUGUUAUUUACACUACAUUAAUGCCACUCGUUAUCAUUCAAUGUUCGGAUGCCACUCGUUUGUUCUUUAACAAUAACACUACUUUCUAUGUCAUCAAUACCCCCAUCGAGUUCAUCUCUUUUCUUUCGCACCAUAGGAUUCACGUCUCGACCCAAUCCUCACCUAUCUAAGUUACCAAGCGUUCCAAGUACACUAGGUUAUCAUUAGAAAGCAUAAAGAAUGGAGCUACUAUGCAAUCCUACAAUGCAACAUGUAAGAGAUGAGAUUAAAUGCAAUCUAAGACAUAGAAAGGAGUUCGAAAGUUUCGGAUGACACCCCCCACCUUUAAUCGAUGUAGAGACUUGGAAAAUCCUCCUCGGCGAGCUUUACGAAAAGGCUUUAGCCUUCCUCGCCCGAAUCAACACUAGCCCGGCCCGAUUUUGCCGAGAACUUCACGUCGAUUCUCCGAAUGCCAAAAUAGACUUCGCCCCCACGUUUUGGGACCUAUCAAUAGGGUUUCCAAGGCUUCAAAUGAGAUCAAUCUCAUGCUUAUACAAAAACCCCAUUUUGGAGCCCUAGAUUUGCACCUAUAGCAAACCACCCCAUAAAUCCCUAGAUUCUUGGGAUUGAUCUAUUUAGAGGCUUGCUUAGGGUCCAUUUGACCCAUUCCAAGGCAUAAAACCCAAAACCCUAAGUUUACGAAGCUAGGAUUUAGUAGCUUACCUCUUGAGCUACACCAAUGGGAAGAGGAGAGGGAGAUGGAGGUGCUCAAAGCCCUCCUCUUGAUCUCCUUCUUCUUCUCCUUCCUUAUCUUCCUCUUCUUUUCCUUCCUCUCCUUCUUGUUCUUCUUCUCCUUCUUUCCUUUCUAGAGAGAGAGAGAGAAAGAGAGAAAUGAGAGUGAGAGGGAGAGAAAUGAGAGAGUGUGAGGGAGAGAGAGGGCUCAGCCCACUCAAAUAAAGGCCAUUUUGCAUAAAAGCCCCUCAACUUUCACUCCUGUGCAUUGCCCUCACUGGGCAGUUUUCGCGCAGAGGGGCCGGUCUCCCCGACUUGGGACCGGUCCCCGAGUGCUUCCCUCGGGCGCACGCGUUCGGGAACCGGUCUCUCCCCGGGAGACCGGUCCUCGGGAGACCGGUCCUCACCUGGGAGACCGGUCCCCGAGAGCUCGAUUUUCAGGAGUUAGCCAAUUUUUGGCAUCUUUCGCUGGGACCACGUUCGGGAACCGGUCCCUCCCUGCCAGGGACCGGUUGCAUCACGCAACCCCGCUACAUCCAGCCAGGGGAACCGGUCUCUCACCUGCAGAGACCGGUCCCCGAGAGCGACAUCAGCCCAAUGAUGCCAUUUGUCUCAUUUUCUCUCGCGGACUCAACUUCAAGGCACUUUUUGUGCUUUGGACAUUCCCAACUCCCACAAAGGGUAUUCUCUCGACAGUCAGUCGAUCCUGGACGAAGUACAAUCCUCGGAUUUCGAGAAUUCACUUCCUUACACUCUACAUGGUCACAUGUUGAAUUACUAUGUAUUCAUGAUACUAGUAGCUUGCAUAUGCAAUUUAACUUGAUGUUAUUCCAGAGAAUAUAAUGGUAAAUUUGGGAAUGUGCCAUUUAACUCAGUUGAUCAGAAAAAGGGAAUGAUGUACAUAGGAUUAGACUAUGCAAAUUGAUAUGGCAAGUAUAAUGGCUAACCUUUGAAUACAUCAUGUAAAGGCAAUUGUAUGAGUAUGUAUUCAUAACUGUUGAAUGAAUAGUUUAAUGACCAUGUGAAGAGUAUUCUAUCGUUUAUCUUACCUACUUGCAUUAGGCUGUUAGUUUCUACUUCCACAUGAUAGAUUAGUCUAAAGUUCAUGAUAUAGUAUAUGAUCUAGUUAAAUAACUAGAAUAUUGUACGAUGGCAUAACUUGAAUGUUAUACAACUAAUUAUAAUCUAGUAAAUGACUAGAUCUGGAUAUGAUAACAUACUUGUGUAAUCAAGUAGAUGUAAUUACAUAGUAUUUGUUUGCCUAAGUAGUGAGGGUUUAUAUUGGACUACAGGAUAUGUGCCAUGAGUCUUUGAAGAUGACUUUAGUAGACCACUUUCCUUAUGUGUAAGGAGUAGUGAGAGGAUUAGGUGUGAGUGUCCAGGUGUAGCCUGAGAGAAUCACCAGUAUGAUGUAAAGCUUAAACUUGUCAAGUUAUAUUAGCUAUUAGUAGAAUCAUAUCAACAAGUGUUGAUAGUGACUUAUGAUUGGGCACUACAGUGUCGACCUUGGGUCGAGUUGAGAUUCCAUGUCAAAGACAUGAUGCUGUUGAGAUAUUGUGCCAUGGAUUACAGCUUGCAUGCCAUUACGCUCUUUCGCACACGCUUGCUGGGGUGGCGGCCCCCCCAAGCCAGCACUCCGGAGUAACUUAGCGACAGAUGCUCGCUUAUUUACGAAGUGAGCGCUGAAAUGGAAUGCCGUGGGGAGUGUAUACUACCACGGGGCCAUUAGGCACGGCGCGGCUUUGAACUUACCUUGUGUAAGUCUGUUUGGAAAUUGGGUUAUGAUAAGUACUUUAACUUUAGCCAGACAUAGUAGUAAAGUUACUUUAUGUCUUUGGUCAAGUUAACUUAUUGGUGAACAUGCUAGAAAGUUGACAUCUAAAGUAAGCUUAGUGAGGAAUAACCUAGAAGUUGACAUCGUGAUUGGUUAAUCAUACAAUGAAAGUAUGUUUCAUUAUUGCUAACGUAGAAGGUUAUUACAUGAUAUUAUCAGUGAUUUCAGGAAAAUGAAUUAUUAUGCAUACCAUCUGGAAUAUGCCUAGUUAAUUGUCAAUUAAUAGGAAUGAUAGAAUCUAGCAUGAUAACUAAUACCUGCAGCCUGUUGAUAUUUAUUUAUUGUUGAGCAAAUAGCAUGAGUGGUUUACUUUCAUACCUGUUGCAUUUAGUAACUUCUUUACUGCUAUUAACUCAUGCCACAGUUGACCUAGUGGUGUGCUUCGCCACUCUCGGCGGCUUACCCACUGGGAACUAUUGUUUAAUAGUUCUCACACCCUCUUUGUUGUUGUUUUUACAGAGCCUUCCACAGCACGAAAGGCUAGGGUCCUUGGCGAGGGGUCAGCGACUUGCUAGAGCUUCCACGAUGCUAGAUAGAUGGAACCACUUCAGCUUUUCUAGUUUAGUACUGUGUUUUAUAGUGAAAUUAUGUAUAUUAUAGUUGUUCUUUCUUAUUGUAAUGAAGUUUUAGGUUGUAUAAGUUUAAACUCUUCAGUUUUGCUCUGAUUACCUAGUUAGAAUUGAAUUCUUUUACUAUACUAUUUGUAGACGACUGGUGUAUACGUAAGCUGUGGUGUACACGGCGGGUCUGUGCACGCGACUGGUGAGCUUCCGCUGAAACAAUUCAAGUGUGGAUACCUCCAAUUGCGGAAGUCUCGACAUAUUGGUGGGUCGGAUCUUCCCGAAAUGGGUGAAUUCCCUCUAUGUCUUCUUUGACAUUAUGAGUUGAAGUUACUACAUAUUCAUGUGAAUAUAUGUAUAGUUCCAGGCAUUGAGACAUGCAUUAAUGUGUAGAUCAUAUUGGAUAUGAUAGCAUCUUUAAACAGAAAUGGAAGACUUAUGACUUGUUACUCUAUGUCACGCCCCGCCCCGAAUCCACUACCAUUUUGGCGCGAUUCGGCAGCGGCGACAGACCGCUGAACGGACAGCACCUCCCCUGCCCGCCCAAGGCUCAACCACAGGAAUGUGUACAAGAAUUUACCCAGGACUUUAAAUUCUAAACAUACACAUUCAGCAAGGGCACAAAUAGUGCCAACAACAAGAAGAGCGAGUAAUCCACAAGAUAUACGAGUGAAAUAAAGAGAGUACUUUACUACCUAUUACAAUAGUUACAUUCUUUACCUUUACAUCAUUUUCCAAAAUGAAUAUAUUUGAUCCUCAAAAUACAUAGCUCUCCAAUCUCACCUACAAGAAUCACUCUCAAUACAUAGGUGUGCUAAUGCAAAAAGGAAAGCUACUAUACUACCACGGUCUCACUGGUCGGGCGCGGUGCCCUUGCCGCGGUCCUCUCUCUGCAGCCCUGAACCUACCACUGGAAAUAGAGUGAGGUGAGAACUAUCUUCCAUAGUUCCCAGUGGGCUCGGCCGCCGACUCUGCCGAUCGCCCCACUAGGUCCAAGUGGGCACAAGUAACAACAGAUAGAUAGAUAGAUAAAUAUGUAUCUGAAAGCUGUAAAUGCAGUAGUAGGAAAACUAUGCUACUAUGCCCAUAAUCAUGAAUAUGAAUGCAUGCAUCAUAUAAUAAAGGUUUGCUACUAUGCUAACAAAUUCGAUCCAUGUUCGAAUAGUAAUGUUCAAUGACAUUUUUAAACCUUUAACUUUUCUUUACCCAAUCUGUGGCGAGGCCCUUGGGCUCGCCCAUGACUCACCUUCAAAUCCCAAAGUGGGGAGGGAGCUCCAAGUGCACCCAAGCCCGGGACCGUCUGCGGACCUCCAUGUGGUCUGGACCUCCAAGUGGUCCUAGUCGCACGACACUCCGGAGUACUCGACGACAAUCCCCUCCAUGUGGGGAUUGGAUGGCUAUACCAUCCUAAACGCAGACUGUGAGCUAGAUCUAUCCUCUCCAAGUGAGGACACUCUACAACUAGAGUCAAUACCCAAU
rnacentral:lncRNA from 1 species